rnacentral:rRNA from 1 species
GUCAGCUCGUGUCGUGAGAUGUUGGGUUAAAGUCCCGCAACGAGCGCAACCCCUAUUGUUAGUUGCUACGCAAGAGCACUCUAGCGAGACUGCGUUGACAAAACGGAGGAAGGUGGGGACGACGUCAAAUCAUCAUGCCCCUUAUGUCCUGGGCUACACACGUAAUACAAUGGCGGUCAACAGAGGGAUGCAAAACCGUAAGGUGGAGCGAACCCCUAAAAGCCGUCCCAGUUCAGAUCGUGGGCUGCAACCCGCCCACG